UGGCCCUGUAGCUCAGGUGGAUAGAGCAACGGUUUCCUAAACCGCAGGUCGGAAGUUCGAAUCUUCCCAGGGUCACCAG
rnacentral:tRNA from 1 species